AGCAGCCGCGGUAAUUCCAGCUCCAAUAGCGUAUAUUAAAGUUGUUGCAGUUAAAAAGCUCGUAGUUGAAUUUCGGGAUCAAUAUGUUUGGUCGUGCCUCGGUACGUACUAGCUUAUUGGUUUCUCCUUUCUGAAGAACCAUGAUGUCAUUCAUUUGGUGUCGUGGGGAAUCAGGACUGUUACUUUGAAAAAAUUGAGUGUUUAAAGCAGGCUCACGCUUGAAUACAUUAGCAUGGAAUAAUGAAAUAGGACGUUUGAUUCUAUUUUGUUGGUUUCUAGGAUCGACGUAAUGAUUAAUAGGGAUAGUUGGGGGCAUUAGUAUUCAAUUGUCAGAGGUGAAAUUCUUGGAUUUAUUGAAGACUAACUACUGCGAAAGCAUUUGCCAAGGAUGUUUUCAUUAAUCAAGAACGAAAGUUAGGGAUCGAAGACGAUCAGAU
rnacentral:rRNA from 1 species